AGAGUUUGAUUUUGGCUCAGAACGAACGCUGGCGGCAGGCUUAACACAUGCAAGUCGAACGGUCUCUUCGGAGGCAGUGGCAGACGGGUGAGUAACGCGUGGGAAUCUACCUAGUUCUACGGAACAACAGUUGGAAACGACUGCUAAUACCGUAUACGCCCUACGGGGGAAAGAUUUAUCGGAAUUAGAUGAGCCCGCGUAAGAUUAGCUAGUUGGUGGGGUAAUGGCCUACCAAGGCGACGAUCUUUAGCUGGUCUGAGAGGAUGAUCAGCCACACUGGGACUGAGACACGGCCCAGACUCCUACGGGAGGCAGCAGUGGGGAAUAUUGGACAAUGGGCGCAAGCCUGAUCCAGCCAUGCCGCGUGAGUGAUGAAGGCCUUAGGGUUGUAAAGCUCUUUCAGUGGGGAAGAUAAUGACGGUACCCACAGAAGAAGCCCCGGCUAACUUCGUGCCAGCAGCCGCGGUAAUACGUAGGGUGCAAGCGUUGUCCGGAAUUAUUGGGCGUAAAGAGCUCGUAGGCGGCUUGUCGCGUCUGCUGUGAAAACCCGAGGCUCAACCUCGGGCCUGCAGUGGGUACGGGCAAGCUAGAGUGCGGUAGGGGAGAUUGGAAUUCCUGGUGUAGCGGUGGAAUGCGCAGAUAUCAGGAGGAACACCGAUGGCGAAGGCAGAUCUCUGGGCCGUAACUGACGCUGAGGAGCGAAAGCAUGGGGAGCGAACAGGAUUAGAUACCCUGGUAGUCCAUGCCGUAAACGUUGGGAACUAGAUGUAGGGCCUGUUCCACGGGUUCUGUGUCGUAGCUAACGCAUUAAGUUCCCCGCCUGGGGAGUACGGCCGCAAGGCUAAAACUCAAAGGAAUUGACGGGGACCCGCACAAGCGGCGGAGCAUGCGGAUUAAUUCGAUGCAACGCGAAGAACCUUACCAAGGCUUGACAUAUACGAGAACGGGCCAGAAAUGGUCAACUCUUUGGACACUCGUAAGCAGGUGGUGCAUGGUUGUCGUCAGCUCGUGUCGUGAGAUGUUGGGUUAAGUCCCGCAACGAGCGCAACCCUCGUUCUAUGUUGCCAGCACGUAAUGGUGGGAACUCAUGGGGUACUGCCGUGGUCAACACGGAGGAAGGUGGGGAUGACGUCAAAUCAUCAUGCCCCUUAUGUCUUGGGCUUCACGCAUGCUACAAUGGCCGGUACAAUGGGCUGCGAUACCGUAAGGUGGAGCGAAUCCCAAAAAGCCGGUCUCAGUUCGGAUUGGGGUCUGCAACUCGACCCCAUGAAGUCGGAGUCGCUAGUAAUCGCAGAUCAGCAACGCUGCGGUGAAUACGUUCCCGGGCCUUGUACACACCGCCCGUCAAGUCAUGAAAGUCGGUAACACCCGAAGCCGAUGGCCUAACCCGCAAGGGAGGGAGUCGUCGAAGGUGGGACUGGUGAUUAGGACUAAGUCGUAACAAGGUAACCA
rnacentral:rRNA from 1 species